GAUGAACGCUAGCGGCAGGCUUAACACAUGCAAGUCGAGGGGCAGCGCGGGAUAGCAAUAUCCUGGCGGCGACCGGCGGAAGGGUGCGUAACGCGUGAGCGACAUGCCCGUUGCCCGGGGACAACCGGUGGAAACGCCGACUAAUCCCCGAUGGGAUAUUGUGCCGCAUGGCACGAUAUUGAAAGUUACGGCGGCGACGGAUUGGCUCGCGUCCGAUUAGCUUGUUGGCGGGGUAACGGCCCACCAAGGCUGCGAUCGGUAGGGGGUCUGAGAGGAAGGCCCCCCACAAUGGGACUGAGACACGGCCCAUACUCCUACGGGAGGCAGCAGUGAGGAAUAUUGGUCAAUGGGUGGAAGCCUGAACCAGCCAUGCCGCGUGCGGGAAGGAGGCGCUAUGGGCUGUGAACCGCUUUUGCCUGGGGGCAAUAAGGGCGUCGCGCACGUCCGAUGAGAGUACCAGGCGAAUAAGCAUCGGCUAACUCCGUG
rnacentral:rRNA from 1 species